AAUAUAUUCUUCAAUCGUAUUAUCGGUGAUUAACCGAAUUACCGUUACCUCACGGACUUGUCCAACACGAUGAGCACGGUCUUCAGCCUGCAAAUCAUCGAAUGGAUUAUAAGAGCAGUCAUACAAUAUCACCACAUUUGCACACGCUAAAUUAAUUCCAAAACCGCCAGCUUUUGUUGAAAGAAGGAAUACAGUAACAUCUUCCUCUUUGUGAAAUUGAUCUAUAAUAUCCUGACGUACUUCAACUUGUGUUGAACCAUCCAAUCGAACAUAUGAUAUUUUCAAAGUAUCCAGCACCUGUUCCAAAAUAUCGAGCAUCUGAGUAAACUGACUAAACAAAAGGAUCCUGCUUCCUUCUUCUUUCAUUUUAGGAAGUAAUUCUUUCAACACUCGAAUUUUACCUGAAUCCAUCCAGGGAUCAUCCUUCAACGUAUAUGACUGCAGCGUAGGGAAACUGCGGCAAAGUCGAUGCAAUUCAAAGUCAGACAUAACUUCCAUAUCUUCAUAUAUAUAUUGUUCAUUGGCAUUUUUAUAUUGUUCCUCUUGCAUUAUAUCCUUAGCCAUUUGCUUUAACUUCUCAUCGUCAUAAAAUUUGCGAAAAAGUAAGGCAUGAUUUGCAGCUUUGCGAAGCUGCAUGAGAACAUGACCGGCCGAUAAUGACUUGCCAUCGCUUUCUUCAUCGUUCUUACUACGCUUGUUUCGUUUAUCGUCUCUCCGAAGUUGUUGAUUUUUUUGCAAAGCAGCAUAUCGAUUGUAAAUUUCCAACUGGUUUUCUGAUAACUUACAAUGUUCAAUAAUCUGAGUCUUUUUUGGCAAAUCAUUAAGAACUUGGUUUUUCCGACGGCGAAGGACAAACGGAGUCAUCAUAGUCUUGGCACGGCUAAUACGUUGCUUAGAAAGUAAGGCUUGUUCUAUAUCCGCAUCUGCGGUUGGUUUAGCUUUAAAAAUUACAUCCAAAUCGUCCAUGUCACUGUCAAACAUAUUAGGAAGAAUGAAAGCGAGCAAGGAAACUAAUUCUUUGAGAUUGUUUUGUAAAGGAGUACCAGUCAGCAGCAGUCUAAAGUUAGCGUUAAGGUUCAUGAGAUGUUUGUAACGCUCCGACAUUCUAUUUUUCAAAUAAUGACCUUCGUCGUAAACGCAGACAUCAAAGUUUUGAUGUUUAAGAAAAGAUCGGUCCUCUUUGUUGUUCGUAGCUAACUGAUAAGUAGUAACCAAAAUGUCAUACUUUAUUUCGUUUUCUUCUAUUGCUUCGCGAAUAUUUGCUCGCUCUUGUUGACUUCCGUAGUAAGGUUCCACGCGGAGGCUAGGGCAAAACCGGGCAAGUUCCCUAAGCCAAUUUUCAAGCGUUGAAGAAGGGACUACAA